UAGUAAUGUGAUGUUAAGCAUCUUUUAAACCUAAGGUUCUCAUAAAACUCAAAUUAGAAGCAUUUUAAAACUGACACUAA